rfam:Gossypium hirsutum cultivar TM-1 chromosome 19, whole genome shotgun sequence
CACGUCAGCGUGCUUUCCUGACGUGGCAACAAAUUGCCCCCUCGUGGACGCGAUUUGUUGCCACGUCAGGAAAGCGCGCUGAUGUGG